GUACAAACACAAAAGACACGCCGAGGGGCCCGCCGAGGGGCCGUCCGCCCUAGUCCGUCCCCGGCCCUCACUCCCUCCCCGCCGGACGCAGGCGUCACAGGUCUCACUAUGAAGCUCACACUGGCUUUGGACUCAUGAUCCUCUGCCUCACUCUGGCAUAGGCCAUGACAACCCAGCUCUGAUGAGCCUUUUGAAUCUCAUAACCUAUAGAUUCUCCCUGUGUUCAUACU
rnacentral:lncRNA from 1 species